UCAGUCACAGAUGGCUAACACAAGCUUUUCAGUUUCAGAACCAACAAGUCACUACUUCAUUGAUGACGGUAUGACAACAUGAUGUGCAAGACGUUUUGGCCACACAGCCACAACUGACCACCCAGCCAGCACAACAAGUGCCGCUAACCAGUAUACCAACGUUCCGGCAAUUUAAGAAAACAGAGGAGGAAUGGAUUGAAUACCCGACUUAGUUCAAAGCACAUUGUCAAGUUCAUUAUGUUCACGAUUCAUGGCCUCAUGGGAUCGUGCAGCCCGUGCGGCCUUAUCAGCCGCCCGCUGGUGCCACCUGGGCACCCCAGGAGGAGUGGUUGGAUGAAGCGUCCCCGCUGACCCUGCUCGCCAACCCGAUGGACGUGGACCCAUCAUCGUCGUCAUCACCCUCAGGCCUGGAUGUGUGCCCAGACAGCAGUUUUCCACAGGAUGUUCCUGUUGCCUUGCAAGCCAUAUGGUGGGGUACGGUGGGGAGUACACCAUCGUCCACAGUCAUGGCUCCCAGCUCAUGUCUACAUUCAGCAUCCUGUCAGCUCAUGUCUACAUUCAGCAUCCUGUCCCCCCACCCCCCACAAUUGCCAUUUGUAUCCUCUCUAUACGUCACAAUGGUGCGGUAUUUUUGGGGGGAAAGGGGGGGGGGGGGGACUAAUGUGCUGGCGUAAACAGUUGCCAGCAUACCGGUUGGCAAAGAUGAAGUGCGAAGAUCAACUAGUAGGUGCUGGAUUGAGUGCGCUUAUCAUGAGAGAGGCCAGAGACACACCCACAAGUGACAUGCUGCCAACGCCCUCUCGACAGCAUGCAUUUAAGCUGCUGCUGACCGGAGGGCCUUGCUCACUCACUCAUCCAGUUUGGCGGCUGUCAGUUUACUCACAGAGCAGGUUAAGUUCAUCACAGACUAUGACAGUCCAUAGUGACCAGAUUAGUGACUACAGUGGGACUAUUACUGAACAGCUUGCACCACAAACAUGGACUCAAUUCAAGUUAAGUAAAUGUUCCAUUUCUUGUAAAUAAAGAACUGUAUUAAUCCA